AACGAACGCUGGCGGCAUGCCUAACACAUGCAAGUCGAACGAGACCUUCGGGUCUAGUGGCGCACGGGUGCGUAACGGGUGGGAACCUGCCCUUGGGUUCGGAAUAACUCCCCGAAAGGGGUGCUAAUACCGGAUCAUGUCUUCGGACCAAAGAUUUAUCGCGUUUGGAGGGGCCGGCGUUGGAUUAGCUUGUGGGGAGGGUAAAAGCCUACCACGGCGCGGAUACGUAGCUGGGUAGCGAGGCUGCUCAGCCACACUGGGGGGGGGACGCGGCCCAGACUCCUGCGGGAGGGAGGAGAGGGGGAUAGUGGAAAAUGGGGGGAGGCCUGAAGCACCAAGGACGGGAGAGUGAUGAAGGCCUUAGGGUUGUAAAGCUCUUUUACCCGGGACGGUAAUGACGGUACCGGGAGAAUAAGCUCCGGCUAACUCCGUG
rnacentral:rRNA from 1 species